UUUUUUUUUUUUGAAUAAUUUAAUUACAAUUACUAAUGCUAAUGACAUUUUCAUUUACUUACAAACUUUAACUUUGACUAACAUUUAAUCCAUUAUAAGGGUUGAGUUUUUUUUUUAAUUUGGGUAAAUUGUUAAUUUUUUUACCCUAAAAUUUAAAAAAAAUACCUAUGAACAUAAAAAGUAAUUUUUGACCUCAUAAG
rnacentral:lncRNA from 1 species